rnacentral:lncRNA from 1 species
CUUCCCUGUCUCAUAUAAAAAUCAAUUGGCAUGGGAUCACAAUAUAGACUGAAGACGACUUGACCUCAGUCUUUAGCCUAUAUCGCUUCUGGCCUCUCUGUUUCCUUCCUUUCUGGCCUGAGACAUGCCUCCUAUCGUGCUUUUCCUCCCUGCCUCCUACUUUAUGAAAUAUUUUUCAUUGGUCUACAAUUAACUCAUAUCUCUAUCUAUAUUUCAAUAGAGCUUCUUCCUCGCUAUAAUUACAGUCUUUAUAAGUAACAGAACAUCUAAAAGAAAAAUAAUUACAAACAAAUAUUUCAAACAUACAAUUCUUUAACACUAGUACCAAAUCAAACCUUCAUUCACCAUAUGGAUUCCUCCAUUGUAUUCGAUCUGAAACAAGUAAAUACACGUAAUAAGCUUCAAAUUUCACAAGCUUAUGUUCAAUAUCAUAUAUUUUUGUAUGAUCAACCUAAUAGCAGAUCAAAAGUUUCUCUGUCCAUGACUUCAAUUAACAACAAAAAUAUUCACAAAGAUGAGGAAGUGUUUAUAUCUAAUGGUAUAAGUCAUAGUAAUCAUGAGAGUAUAUCUCUCCAUAAAUUUAGAGACUUCUAACCAAGCAAAUUGUAGUCCUAGCUACUUGCUUGUAUUUUGGCAUUUAAUCUCGGAGAUAUGUAUCCUUACAACUCCAUUGAGAAAAUCACUUUCUACAACUUUAGAGAAUUGAAUCAAUUAUAGAUUUAUAGAUUCCCUAGGACGCUUUGUUUAAGGGUUUAAACUCAGAAAUUGAUUACCUUAUACAUAUAUCAUUCUUUGAUCCUAAUAUAUCAUUCUCUUUAUUGAUAACAUUCAAUGGUCACAAAAAUAAGGACUUCGUUAAAAAAAAUGAAUCUAGUUGUUAGAAAGGAAAAACUUUUACAUGCAUAUAAGUUAUAAGCAUCUAAUUAAUCGGCAUUUAACACCAUCCUAUAAAGAUUAAUUUCAUCAAAAGAAUUCAAGUUCACUUCUAACUUAUCUUCAGUUCAUAAUAUGAUUUGAGUGCUUAAAGCACUACAAUUUUCGUAAACUCUAAAUUCAACAAUACGAUCAUUCAUUUUUUUAUUUUUUUUAUUUUUGUGAAUUUAAACCAUUUUUUCCAAUUAAUUAAGAAAUCAUUUAAUAAAAUUUGAGUAUAUAUAACAAGAUUAAUAGAAUGUGUGAUGAAGAUAGGUUUGCAUUACCUUAUGCAUUGGAAUUCAUCUUCCCUUUGUUUUUUUUUUUUUUU